rnacentral:rRNA from 1 species
GACGAACGCUGGCGGCGUGCUUAACACAUGCAAGUCGAACGGAAAGGCCCUGCUUUUGUGGGGUGCUCGAGUGGCGAACGGGUGAGUAACACGUGAGUAACCUGCCCUUGACUUUGGGAUAACUUCAGGAAACUGGGGCUAAUACCGGAUAGGAGCUCCUGCUGCAUGGUGGGGGUUGGAAAGUUUCGGCGGUUGGGGAUGGACUCGCGGCUUAUCAGCUUGUUGGUGGGGUAGUGGCUUACCAAGGCUUUGACGGGUAGCCGGCCUGAGAGGGUGACCGGCCACAUUGGGACUGAGAUACGGCCCAGACUCCUACGGGAGGCAGCAGUGGGGAAUAUUGCACAGUGGGCGGAAGCCUGAUGCGACGGCGCCGCGUGCGGGAUGACGGCCUUCGGGUUGUAAACCGCUUUCGCCUGUGACGAAGCGUGAGUGACGGUAAUGGGUAAAGAAGCACCGGCUAACUACGUG